GACGAACGCUGGCGGCGUGCUUAACACAUGCAAGUCGAACGGAAAGGCCCUGCUUUUGUGGGGUGCUCGAGUGGCGAACGGGUGAGUAACACGUGAGUAACCUGCCCUUGACUUUGGGAUAACUUCAGGAAACUGGGGCUAAUACCGGAUAGGAGCUCCUGCUCCAUGGUGGGGGUUGGAAAGUUUCGGCGGUUGGGGAUGGACUCGCGGCUUAUCAGCUUGUUGGUGGGGUAGUGGCUUACCAAGGCUUUGACGGGUAGCCGGCCUGGGAGGGUGACCGGGGACAUGGGGACUGAGAUACGGCGCAGACUCCAACGGGAGGCAGCAGGGGGGAAUAUUACACAGUGGGCGGAAGCCUGAUGCAGAAACGCCGCGUGCGGGAUGACGGCCUUCGGGUUGUAAACCGCUGUCGCCUGUGACGAAGCGUGAGUGACGGUAAUGGGUAAAGAAGCACCGGCUAACUACGUG
rnacentral:rRNA from 1 species